GACGAACGCUGGCGGCGUGCUUAACACAUGCAAGUCGAACGGAAAGGCCCUGCUUUUGUGGGGUGCUCGAGUGGCGAACGGGUGAGUAACACGUGAGUAACCUGCCCUUGACUUUGGGAUAACUUCAGGAAACUGGGGCUAAUACCGGAUAGGAGCUCCUGCUGCAUGGUGGGGGUUGGAAAGUUUCGGCGGUUGGGGAUGGACUGGCGGCUUAUCAGCUUGUUGGUGGGGUAGUGGCUUACCAAGGCUUUGACGGGUAGCCGGCCUAAGAGGGUGACCGGCCACAUUGGGACUGCGAUACGGCCCAGACUCCUACGGGAGGCAGCAGUGGGGAAUAUUGCACAAUGGGCGGAAGCCUGAUGCAGCAACGCCGCGUGCGGGAUGACGGCCUUCGGGUUGUAAACCGCUUUCGCCUGUGACGAAGCGUGAGUGACGGUAAUGGGUAAAGAAGCACCGGCUAACUACGUG
rnacentral:rRNA from 1 species